CACGUAGGUCCCGAGCGUUGUUCGGAUUUAUUGGGCGUAAAGCGAGCGCAGGUGGUUUAUUAAGUCUGGUGUAAAAGGCAGUGGCUCAACCAUUGUAUGCAUUGGAAACUGGUAGACUUGAGUGCAGGAGAGGAGAGUGGAAUUCCAUGUGUAGCGGUGAAAUGCGUAGAUAUAUGGAGGAACACCGGUGGCGAAAGCGGCUCUCUGGCCUGUAACUGACACUGAGGCUCGAAAGCGUGGGGAGCAAACAGG
rnacentral:rRNA from 1 species